GGGAGCCACAGUCCUCUCUGAGAUUCAGCACAGGCUUUGAGGUCGCUGUAGGGGCUGUUUGCAGGUAAACAGGGAGGGCUCCCUGGAAGGGGGGGCUGAAGCCUGAAGUCAGCGUUGCCGGGCUCUCCAAGAGGCCCCGGAAAACAUGGAUGGAUGCAGCAGCCCAGCACAUGGCUCAUAUCAGCCACGGACCCACCUCUAGAACCGACCCCAGUGCCCCCUGCUGCUUCUGACGGCUUUCGUGGCAGAUCACUUCCUCCAACUCCGCAAGAGACAAGCCUGCUUGGGAGCAGCCCUGAGCCACCCAGUGCCGCCUCUGCUGGGAAGUAGUCUGAGAGCCCC